rnacentral:rRNA from 1 species
CCUACGGGUGGCAGCAGUGGGGAAUAUUGCGCAAUGGGCGAAAGCCUGACGCAGCGACGCCGCGUGAGGGAUGAAGGUCUUCGGAUCGUAAACCUCUGUCAGCAGGGAAGAACGGUCACUUUGCUAAUCAGCAGUGAAUUGACGGUACCUGCAAAGGAAGCACCGGCUAACUCCGUGCCAGCAGCCGCGGUAAUACGGAGGGUGCGAGCGUUAACCGGAAUUACUGGGCGUAAAGCGCUCGUAGGCGGUAUGCCAAGUCAAGGGGGAAAUCCCCGCGCUCAACGUGGGAACUGCCUUUGAAACUGGCAAACUGGAGUGUGUGAGAGGAUAGUGGAAGUCCAGGUGUAGGAGUGAAAUCCGUAGAUAUCUGGAGGAACAUCAGUGGCGAAGGCGACUAUCUGGCACAUAACUGACGCUGAGGAGCGAAAGCGUGGGUAGCAAACAGGAUUAGAUACCCCAGUAGUC